rnacentral:rRNA from 1 species
UACGUAGGGCGCAAGCGUUGUCCGGAAUUAUUGGGCGUAAAGAGCUCGUAGGCGGCUUAUCACGUCGGGUGUGAAAGCCCGGGGCUUAACCCCGGGUCUGCAUUCGAUACGGGCAGGCUAGAGUGUGGUAGGGGAGAUCGGAAUUCCUGGUGUAGCGGUGAAAUGCGCAGAUAUCAGGAGGAACACCGGUGGCGAAGGCGGAUCUCUGGGCCAUUACUGACGCUGAGGAGCGAAAGCGUGGGGAGCGAACAGG